AUUGAACGCUGGCGGCAUGCUUUACACAUGCAAGUCGAACGGUAACAGGCCUUCGGGUGCUGACGAGUGGCGAACGGGUGAGUAAUGCAUCGGAACAUGCCCAGAGGUGGGGGAUAACGCAGCGAAAGCUGUGCUAAUACCGCAUGUGAUCUGAGGAUGAAAGCGGGGGACCAGGCAGCAAUGUUUGGCCUCGCGCCUUUGGAGCGGCCGAUGUCAGAUUAGGUAGUUGGUGGGGUAAAGGCCUACCAAGCCGACGAUCUGUAGCUGGUCUGAGAGGACGACCAGCCACACUGGGACUGAGACACGGCCCAGACUCCUACGGGAGGCAGCAGUGGGGAAUUUUGGACAAUGGGCGCAAGCCUGAUCCAGCAAUGCCGCGUGCGGGAAGAAGGCCUUCGGGUUGUAAACCGCUUUUGUACGGAACGAAAAGGCUCUGGCUAAUACCUGGGGCUGAUGACGGUACCGUAAGAAUAAGCACCGGCUAACUACGUG
rnacentral:rRNA from 1 species